rnacentral:lncRNA from 1 species
AGUAAUUCCUGUAUCAGACUUCCGUCUUUCUGUUCCAACAGCAACUGGGGACUCUGCACUAUGUUCUUGCUUUUCUUCUCUCUCCUGGUACUGAAGUAAAUGGGACCACAAAGCAGAUUUCCCCUGCUUGACCUGCAGACCAUGACUCCAGAUUCUUUCUAGCAGAUCACAGAGACUAGCAAUCAAUGUAUUUUCCUCUAGUCCUGUAAUAUUGGCUUCUCCAUGUCCCAG